rnacentral:rRNA from 1 species
CAGGGAUUACCUCAGUAACGGCGAGUGAAGCGGUAACAGCUCAAAUUUGAAAGCUAGCUCUUUUAGGGUUCGCAUUGUAAUUUGUAGAAGAUGCUUCGGGUGUGGCCCCGGUCUAAGUUCCUUGGAACAGGACGUCAUAGAGGGUGAGAAUCCCGUAUGUGACUGGGUGCUUUCGCUCAUGUGAAGCUCUUUCGACGAGUCGAGUUGUUUGGGAAUGCAGCUCAAAAUGGGUGGUAAAUUUCAUCUAAAGCUAAAUAUUGGCCAGAGACCGAUAGCGCACAAGUAGAGUGAUCGAAAGAUGAAAAGCACUUUGGAAAGAGAGUUAAACAGUACGUGAAAUUGUUGAAAGGGAAGCGCUUGCAACCAGACUUGCGCGCUGAUGAUCAUCCGGGCUUCUGCCCGUGACUCGUCUGCGCUCAGGCCAGCAUCGGUUUCGGUGGUGGGAUAAAGGCCUUGGGAAUGUAGCUCCUCUCGGGGAGUGUUAUAGCCCUCGGUGCAAUGCCGCCUACCGGGACCGAGGACCGCGCUUCGGCUAGGAUGCUGGCGUAAUGGUUGUAAGCGACCCGUCUUGAAACACGGACCAAGGAGUCUAACAUCUAUGCGAGUGUUUGGGUGUCAAACCCAUACGCGUAAUGAAAGUGAACGGAGGUGAGAACCCUUAAGGGUGCAUCAUCGACCGAUCCUGAUGUCUUCGGAUGGAUUUGAGUAAGGAGCAUAGCUGUUGGGACCCGAAAGAUGGUGAACUAUGCGUGAAUAGGGUGAAAGCCAGAGG